CCUGAGUGAAGACUUCAGCACUUGGUCUUCACUGGGCUUAUAAAGAUGCCUCGAAGGGACUUGCCGGCUCUGUCAAAGCUGAAUUCCCCACCCUCCCAUCCAAUGUAGCAUAUGGCCCUGCCCGCAGGUGGGCAGGCAGAUUCUGUGUAUGACCUUGCUAUGGAAAUAUUCAGUUGUCAUAUUUGGAGCCAGGGAGGAAUUUGACGGCAGGCAAAUUGAGAGUUUUGCCUACCUCAUAGCAAUUGUCACAACUUGUUGGCAGAUAAUGCAUUGGAUGCAGCCCUUAGUCUAGGCAGGGGCAGGGUUGGGAGCCCACCCACCCCCUGCUUCAGGGAAUCAGGGAUACUCUGUUAAAGGAGUCCAGGGGAGGUGCUUUCUAGAUGCCCAACAUAGAGUCAGUAGGCCAUAGCACCCCCUAAAAUGGCAGUCUUGGAGGGAUAAGUCCUAUCUGGGAGAUCUCAAAAAAGCUGGAGGUGUCUACCUUACCAGCUGCAACUUUCUGGGAGAAGACAGGAGUGGAGGGUGCCUUUGGCAGGGCUUUGGGCUUGGAUACAGGCUGUGGGCUUUCCUCCCUGGCUUCUCCUUCCAAUACCCUGCCCAUGAAAGAGCACCAUGCUUACUAGCAGAGGACGCAAUCUUGUGGGAUGUCGGCUGCUCCUGCUGCUCAAGGGGCUUCCUGCAUGUGGGGCCACAAUUUGGAGCUACAGGACAGAUUGGAGGUUCUGUGCACAGUCCCUAGGAUACAGGCAUGAGGUCCGUGCUUCAAGGCACAAUUGGCACAUGGAACACAAGUAGGUGGGAGGAUCAUCCCACUUCCCUUCCACAUGCCCAGCCUACACUGUUGGAAUACCAUCUGUCUCUAUCUGCCACAACCAACCACAGUGUUGUGCCCAUCUCCAAAAGGGCUGGAUGAGAAACACUGACCCUUUUCUCCUGUUUUUAGUGGAACAGAAGAUCCAAUUCGGUAGUGCUAGGCUCUGAUUGAUUUAUUCUACUUACCCUAGCACCAUUAAGGCUCACUUUUAAUUUACUUCAAAUAUAUACAGCCACUCUGUCUAAUAAUGACUAAAAUCAAAACCAGGUGAGAGUUCACCAGACCAUGGACAACUGAGGCCAGGCUAUCCCAACUGAGGGACGGCUGUAACUGGUGAAUCACCCUAAGCACUCCUAGCCACAGAAACCAUUUGAGACUCUGGUGAGAAGUUGGAAUCCAGGAGCACUGCCAGACAAUGAACCUGUUCCUUCAGGUGGAGUGUAGAUGAUAUGGCUGCUAGCUGGUGGAAUCCAGCAGAGGUUUUAUGGGAGGUCAGUAAGAUGUUGCUCCUUCUACUCCUCCCGCUAUCUCUGCCUGCCUCCUACUAUGUGGUAUCCACACACACACCCUUCAUUGCUGGAGUGACACAAGGUCCACUGUAGUUAUCGCGUCUGGAUUUGAAAAGUCUUGGCCAAAUGUGUGAGCUCAAGCCAGACUCGCCACAUCAUUUACCCAGAAAGAAAAUUUAGAAGUGGUGCAGUUUCUCUCUUUGUGCUUGCCUGUUUGCACCGAUGCACAUUUCACAGGGAGACAAUAGAGCGUAAAAAAAAGGAGAGAGAUUGAUGAAGAGCAAUUAACACCCUCCAAAUGCACACGAUUCCUUUGUGAGACCCUUGUUAUUUGAGAUCAAAAAUAUGUCACUGAGCUUUAAAAUGAAUGCAUCAAGCUCUUUCAGGCAUCACUAUAGCGAAUUUUAAUCACAGUCACCAGAAACACAAAAGCAUCGCCAAGUAUUUAAGGACAGGAUUUGGGCAACAGAUAAAUAAUUGGAUGGCAUUUGGCUUUAAUCAAGAUUCCCUACAAUAACUUAUUUGUAUUCUUGCAUCCUGAUGCCAUGACAAAAGCCUGAAGCAUUUCAAAAGCAUUUACUUGAGGGAGGGGGUUGAGGAGAGCUUUGGUGCUGUUCUAAUUGUAUGAAAUUGAGUUUAUGUCCCUUAAGCAAAGAUACUGCUAAUUUUUGACACUAAUUGUGAAGAAGUAUGACUAGAGAAUGGCAAAUUUUCAAGGCAAAUCUGAAAUUGAACAAAUUGCAGCCAUUCUGUUGGUGCAGAUGUGAAUCUUCAAGAAAAGAAUGGCUUUGAUUUGAUCAAUGUAUUUUAGAAUCAUUAUUCAUUUCUGCUCUAAGCAGAGUUAGCCAAGAUGUACGUCUCUCUAACACAGACCAGGAUCAGAUGCUGUGGGUUCUGACACACCCAGCCCACGUCCAUUCUGCCACCAUUUUUAGUCAUUAACUUUCAGUGCCAGCAGUACUGUUGCAAUGGUGCUGUUUCAAGAUGACUAUUUUAAAUGGCGCUUGCUCAUUUCUAUUAUUAUUUAAGAUAUCUGAUACUGCUCUUCCUCCAAGGAGCUCACGGUGACAUACAUGCCUCCCCACAUUGUAUCCUCAUAACCUUUUGUGGUAGGUUGAUCUAUUAUUAUUAUAGGUUUUUUUAUUAUACUUUCCUAAUCUCCCCUCUUUUUGCUAUCUUGUUACCUUGCAUUUUCCAUCCUUUACUUUCAGCUGCCUCCCCUGAAUGGGUGAGGUUCCUGUGUAGCAGCAGAAGGUGCCAGAAGGUGCAAGGAAUUUCACCCCUUCAAGAAUUUGCAUGUAAGAUUGAAUUUACUAAGUGCCAUUUGGUCUGCUGUCAGGUGUACAACCCCACAACUUCAGUUGUGCUCUGAUUGAUUGAUUUGAUGGGGCUAUUUCAUUAUUAGAUGGAAUGGCUUUGUAUCUGUGAAGUAACAAAUUAAACAAUUA
rnacentral:lncRNA from 1 species